rnacentral:rRNA from 1 species
UACGAAGGGGGCUAGCGUUGCUCGGAAUCACUGGGCGUAAAGGGUGCGUAGGCGGGUCUUUUAAGUCAGGGGUGAAAUCCUGGAGCUCAACUCCAGAACUGCCUUUGAUACUGAAGAUCUUGAGUUCGGGGAGAGGUGAGUGGAACUGCGAGUGUAGAGGUGAAAUUCGUAGAUAUUCGCAAGAACACCAGUGGCGAAGGCGGCUCACUGGCCCGGUACUGACGCUGAGGUGCGAAAGCGUGGGGAGCAAACAGG